UCCUACGGGGGGCAGCAGUAGGGAAUAUUGGGCAAUGGAGGCAACUCUGACCCAGCCAUGCCGCGUGCAGGAUGACGGCCCUCUGGGUUGUAAACUGCUUUUAUACGGGAAGAAAAAAUACUACGUGUAGUAUACUGACGGUACCGUAAGAAUAAGGAUCGGCUAACUCCGUGCCAGCAGCCGCGGUAAUACGGAGGAUCCAAGCGUUGUCCGGAUUUAUUGGGUUUAAAGGGUGCGUAGGCGGAUCUUUAAGUCAGUGGUGAAAGCCUGCAGCUUAACUGUAGAAUUGCCAUUGAAACUGAAGAUCUUGAAUGUGGUUAAAGUAGGCGGAAUGUAUCAUGUAGCGGUGAAAUGCUUAGAUAUGAUACAGAACACCGAUAGCGAAGGCAGCUUGCUGAACCAUUAUUGACGCUGAGGCACGAAAGCGUGGGGAGCGAACAGGAUUAGAUACCCGUGUAGUCCA
rnacentral:rRNA from 1 species